UACGUAGGGUGCGAGCGUUGUCCGGAAUUAUUGGGCGUAAAGGGCUCGUAGGCGGUUUGUCGCGUCGGGAGUGAAAACCAGGUGCUUAACACCUGGCUUGCUUUCGAUACGGGCAGACUAGAGGUAUUCAGGGGAGAACGGAAUUCCUGGUGUAGCGGUGAAAUGCGCAGAUAUCAGGAGGAACACCGGUGGCGAAGGCGGUUCUCUGGGAAUGACCUGACGCUGAGGAGCGAAAGCGUGGGGAGCGAACCGG
rnacentral:rRNA from 1 species